GCAGCUUAUUUAUGAUGAGUUGAUUCAUGAUGUCUGAUGCAUACAACAGAUGUUUCUAAUAAAGGAAACAGUGGAACAAGAAGUCAUACAUAUGUUAUAAUCUGAAAGGUACCCCUACUUCAAAUUCAAGAUGGAGUGAAAUCAGAAAAGCCCAAAUUGAAGUCAUAAAUAGCAGAAACCACACAUGAUGUUAUAUCUCACAAAAUACAAGACUGAAAAAGAAAAAAUGCCAUUGGAUUCAAACUGUGGAAACGACCAAUUCCAAAAAUAACAAUGUAACAAGACCAACUUUAUUUAUUGAUUCUCAGAAUCUUUCUGGUGAUCUGCUAAGAAGGAGACUAAGGAAAUCCAAUGCGGCUUGCUCUCCAAACCCAAUACGCAGUGUGAAUUCAAAAUCUUGGGGCCAUGGGAAAAGGGGGCAUACGAGAAAACCUACAUAAAAAUCUGCUGGUA